UGUGUGUGUUUUUAAAUAGAGUUAAAAUAGAGUUAAUGCAAUAUUAAUUGGCUGUAGAUGUUAUAAGAAUGCACAGCCCCAUUUUCAGGAACAAAUCGAUGAGAUAGGGAUGCGAGAGAGGGAAGAUGAAGGCUUUUCCCAAUCUAGGUCACUUCUUUGCGGAGAGGCCUUCUCAGAGCUUUGGGAAGGGAUGCUAUCCCUGAAACUGCAGCCAGAUGCAGCUCCAAGCAAUCCCAGUGUUACAUAUGAUAUUUCCCCCCGCUGGCUGAUGGCAAGUAGAUGUGAUAAAGCAGAAACUGGACACAGG
rnacentral:lncRNA from 1 species